UUCUCUCAAAUCACAUUUUUGGCAUUUGGAAUUUUUCUUGAGAAGUUGUCAAAGAACUCGAGCCUGUCUUGCUUGCUCCACCAUCCAUCACCUUUGUUGAGCUUAUUUCAAGCUUCAUUUCACAUCUGUAGCAGCAUUUCAUGGACUAUUUUCUUCAAGCUCCAUUAAUGGCAGAAGUUGAUUAGAGCCAUCCCAAGCUAUCUCGAGCCAAACCCUCUUCAUCAUUCAUCAUUU
rnacentral:lncRNA from 1 species